AUGUCUGACCAGGAGGCAAAACCUUCAACUGAGGACUUGAGAGAUAAGAAAGAAGAAUACCUCAAACUUAAGGUCAUUGGACAGGAUAGCAGUGAGAUUCACUUUGAGGUGAAAAUGGCAACACAUCUCAAGAAACUCAAAGAAUCAUACUGUCAAAGACAGGGAGUUCCAAUGAAUUCACUCAGCUUUCUCUUUGAAGGUCAGAGAAUUGCUGAUAAUCACACUCCAAAAGAACUGGGAAUGAAGGAAGAACAUGUGAUUGAAGUUUAUCAGGAAAAAACGGGGGGUCAUUCAACAGUUUAG